UACAGAGGUCUCAACCGUUGUUCGGAUUCAUUGGGCGUAAAGGGUGCGUAGGCGGUCGCGUAAGUCAGGUGUGAAAUCCCGGGGCUCAACCCCGGAACUGCAUUUGAUACUGCGUGGCUCGGGUACUGGAGAGGAGACUGGAAUUUACGGUGUAGCAGUGAAAUGCGUAGAUAUCGUAAGGAAGACCAGUGGCGAAGGCGGCUCUCUGGACCGAGACUGACGCUGAGGCGCGAAAGCGUGGGGAGCAAACAGG
rnacentral:rRNA from 1 species